rnacentral:rRNA from 1 species
GCAGCAGCCGCGGGAAUACGGAGGGUGCAAGCGUUAAUCGGAAUUACUGGGCGUAAAGCGUGCGUAGGCGGCUUUUUAAGUCGGAUGUGAAAUCCCUGAGCUUAACUUAGGAAUUGCAUUCGAUACUGGGAAGCUAGAGUAUGGGAGAGGAUGGUAGAAUUCCAGGUGUAGCGGUGAAAUGCGUAGAGAUCUGGAGGAAUACCGAUGGCGAAGGCAGCCAUCUGGCCUAAUACUGACGCUGAGGUACGAAAGCAUGGGGAGCAAACAGGAUUAGAUACCCCGGUAGUCCCUGUCUCUUAUAC